rnacentral:lncRNA from 1 species
GAGGAGUGCUGGCUAUUUUGAGGAGAGGGCUUUCUUUUUCUUUUUUUUUAACUGGCACAAAAAUCACAUCCUCUUUCUUAUGCAAUGGGACAAAUAUGAGUAUGUCAAAGAUCACAUCUUCUCUGUGAUCUGAAGUUGUCCUCCUGAAAAUAAGGAAUAUGGUAGGGGAAAAAAGUCUAUGUAAGCCCCAGACCUCAGUUUCAUGACCUCGUCAUCCCUAAGUAUUGCUGGGACUCCACUUCAGUCCCUCACUCCCACGACCAGAUUCUGUCCUGGUGACCACGGAGGAAGGAUGCUCCAGGGACAGGAUCUAAGCACAGCCUCCUCUCCUGACAAGCCACCUGGUCCAUUACUGCCCACAGCCUCAAGCUUCUCCUUCAUCAGGAUCUCAGAUAAGACUUAAGUCCAAGAUCACACAGUCAAUAAGUGGUGGAGAUAAAACUUGAACCCCAUCAGUAACCAUUGACUCAGGGAAAUCUACAUAAUCUCACUGAUCCUCAGCGUCCUCUUUUGUAAAAUGGGAUUGGUAACGCCUGCCCUCUAAGGUGGUUGAGACUUGUUGCACAUGAAAUGCUUGGCACAGUGCCCUGCCUGCAACGAAUUGGAGGUGCCAUUCUCUGGACCAGUCAGAGUUUUCUGGAUGCAACGAUGUACUUCCACUCUGGUUACUUCAAGCGAAGGAGAAAUAAGUUGAACUGAAGCAGGUGACUGAGAGGACAAGAACCGGAGACCACAGGGGCCCUGGGAGGAUAUGUGAUGACACUUUGCAUAUGUAACUCCCGAGAAACCAAGGCAGGAGCUCCAGACUUCUCUCUAUCUGAAUGCACAAAUAGAAGGAGCAGGUUUGAUGAACAGCCGGAAUGCGCAUGACACAUGCUAUGUUUUUUCUGCACUUCAGUGAAGGAAAAUCAUAAUUUAAGAAGACGGUACAAAUCCAGCAAUUAGCCAGCACAUUUUUUGUGAGUCAUGUAAGUAUUCAGCAUAUUACUGGGUGCAAAGGAGACACAACCAAAGUAUGAAACACAAUGCUGUAUCUUCCAGGACCACCAUUAUCCAGAUUUGUGGAUCACCCACCCAGCUCUGUGUCAGGCACUGGGUUAUUUCUGGAGAUGCAAAGGCAAAUAAAAUGUGGCUUCUUUUUUUGGAGAAACAUGUAUGGGAUAUAAUAUUUGGAUGUUCUGGCAGAGCUAGAUUUGACAGUAGAGCUCCUAAAAGGUAUGAUCUUGCUUGCCUGUCAGAAUGGUAUGCUUCAAAAUAAUGUUUGAAUUGUAAACCUCUUCUGAGCACUAAAGAGUAUUUCA